AUGGCUUCAUCAAGUAUCUUUCCAUCCUCUCAAGCUUGUGUUCUAUUCCUCCAUGUUUCAGCCGGAGUGCUGCCUAAGUCCUUUCCGUCUUAUUGGUUUCUUAUCUCGUUCUAA
rnacentral:rRNA from 1 species